CACUGUGCACUUGAUGGCAAUUUGAAAGCUUCUCACGAGGCGGACAUUUUGCGGCUUCAUUUUAAACAUUAGUUAAAGUAUGUAACGAAAUAUCGAAACAAAAAAAAACUUUCAACAACGGAUCUCUUGGCUCUCGCAUCGAUGAAGAACGCAGCGAAAUGUGAUAAGUAAUGUGAAUUGCAGAAUUCAGUGAAUCAUCGAAUCUUUGAACGCACCUUGCGCUCUCUGGUAUUCCGGAGAGCAUGUCUGUUUGAGUGUCAUGAACUCUUCAACCCACCAGUUUCUAGUAGACUGUUUGUGGUGUUUGGAUCUUGAGCGCUGCUAGUCUGACUAGCUCGUUCGUAAUACAUUAGCAUCUCUAAUUCGAAUUCGGAUUGACUCAGUGUAAUAGACUAUUCGCUGAGGACACUAUUAAUUUAGUGGCCGUACUAGAACCAGUAGAAGCUUCAAACUACUUUAGUCAACUUUGAUUUAGACCUCAGAUCAGGCAGGAUUACCCGCUGAACUUAAGCAUAUCAAUAAGCGGAGGAAAAGAAACUAACAAGGAUUCCCCUAGUAACGGCGAGUGAAGCGGGAAGAGCUCAAAUUUGUAAUCUGGCACUUUCAGUGUCCGAGUUGUAAUCUCGAGAAGUGUUUUCCGCGCCAGACCGCAUACAAGUCUGUUGGAAUACAGCGUCAUAGUGGUGAGAA
rnacentral:rRNA from 1 species